rnacentral:rRNA from 1 species
GACGAACGCUGGCGGCGUGCCUAAUACAUGCAAGUUGAGCGCUGAAGGUUGGUACUUGAACCAACUGGAUGAGCAGCGAACGGGUGAGUAACGCGUGGGGAAUCUGCCUUUGAGCGGGGGACAACAUUUGGAAACGAAUGCUAAUACCGCAUAAAAACUUUAAACACAAGUUUUAAGUUUGAAAGAUGCAAUUGCAUCACUCAAAGAUGAUCCCGCGUUGUAUUAGCUAGUUGGUGAGGUAAAGGCUCACCAAGGCGAUGAUACAUAGCCGACCUGAGAGGGUGAUCGGCCACAUUGGGACUGGGACACGGCCCAAACUCCUACGGGAAGCAGCAGUAGGGGAUCUUCGGCAAUAGACGGAAGUCUGACCGAGCAACGCCGGGUGAGUGAAGAAGGUUUUCGGAUCGUAAAACUCUGUUGGUAGGGAAGAACGUUGGUGAGAGUGGAAAGCUCAUCAAGUGACGGUAACUACCCAGAAAGGGACGGCUAACUACGUG